rnacentral:rRNA from 1 species
GAUGAACGCUGGCGGCGUGCUUAAUACAUGCAAGUCGAGCGAACAGACGCUGCUCUUGCUCCUCUGACGUUAGCGGCGGACGGGUGAGUCACACGUGGAUCCCCUACCUAUCAGUCUGGGAUCACUUCGGGAAACCGGCGCUAAUCCCGUAUAAUCUCUUGCACCGUAUGGUUCAAUAGUGAGAGACGGCUUUGCUGUCUCUUAUCGAUGGAUCCGGGCGGCAUUAGCUAGUUGGUAAGGUAACGGCUUACCACGGCGACGAUGCGUAGCCGACGGGAGAGAGGGAUAGGCCACACUGGAGCUGGGACGCGGACAAGACUCCUAAGGGAGGCAGCAGUAUGGAAUCGUACGCAGAGGGCGAAAGCAUUACGGAGCGACGCGGCGCGAGUGAUGAAGGUCCUCGGAGCGUAAAACUCUGUUAUGAGUGAAGAACAAAUGUGUAAGGAACUAUGCACUGCGUGACGGUACUGGAUCAGAAAGCCACGGCUAACUACGUG